UCAUCAAUUCAAAUUGGGCAACUUGAACGCUUCAUCUUUCCCUAACCCACCCUUUCAUUCCCUUCUCCUCCCCCUCCAAACUAUACAAAUCCCAUAACAACUUCGAACACUAUCACUUUUCUCUCUCCAUCUGGAACCCUAGCUUCCUCCAUAGCUCUCAAAUCGGACCGGAGAUGAAGAACAAAUCGAAGGUGAACACCGAUUUUGGAGAAACCCAAACCAAUUUGCAGGUAAUGAAUUUGAUCGGUGAUGUGAAAGAUAAAGAAGCAAUUAUGGCUGGAUCAUAAAUUUUAUACGCAUGUAAGUGCUGUAGGACAUGUUCAUUGAAUCGGGAGAACUGGGCAAGCAUAUAACAUAGGUCAAUAUGUUUCAACUGUAAGUCCUUUUUUGCGUAUUUUAUACCAUUAUUUCUAUUCAGUUUUUUAUUAAAAAAAAUUGGCGAGAAAUAGUUGAGUUAGCUAAAGAACCUGAUUGCAACGUACAUCAAGAUCAGAUAGAUAGGACAGCUUCCUUGGCUGAGAUGACCUACAGGCACCACGUGAAACCCCCGUUGCACCCCUUUGUUUAAAGGAUCCACGAGACUACUUUGAUUCUCGACAAGUAAAUGCACGAAUAACACAGAUGAAAUCUAGGUUAUGCACUUCUGAAUCUUAUGUUUUUUUGAGGGCUCAUAUCUUUGAAACUGGAACAACAGGUUACAGUAAUAUCAUAGUGGCCGUUGGUUUCCAAAUGAUAUUGUUGAAAAAUCACUCGACUUAGUGUCUGAAAAUCAAUCUCUUUCAAGGUCGUUUCUAGCUUCUCUCGAGUCCGCAGGUAAAGAACCGUCUGGGAAUUCUAAUAUUCCACUCUCCAUCACAAACGACAAUCAAAAACCGAGUUUUGAAAAACGGAGUUCAUUUUGGGAGACCAUCGGGUCAAUGGAAGCAUUUCUUUUAUUUCUACAGAAUCCGCAUUUUCGCCCACUUUAUACUUUUAACGAAAGUGCCCUUAAACGCCACGCAAUCUAUAAAAUAGUAAUCCUUAUUAAAUUAUAAGGUUAGUUUCUUAGAAUUAGCGAAGUGCGAAUGUGAUUUCAAAUUCUAUGAGGGGCAUAGUGGGGUUAUAUAAAUAGGUCAAAAAAGAUCGACCCACCAACACAUUUUGCCAUUUUUUUAAAUAUUAGUGAUUACUUUGAACUUUUUUAAGUAUUGGACCAAUUUUACUAUUUCUUUUGGUGGAUACAUGACUGUUGGAACGUACCUAAAGUUCCUGAACCAAAUAUCCCCUAUUAAGUGUCUCAAGAUCCAUUAGCAAUUAUAUAUAGAUCAAGAAGAAGAAAAUAGUGAAUAAUGAGCAGCAACAUUUGAAACAUAAUAUUAAAUUUGGGUAGAUGGCUCAUUUGUGUCUGUCCUUUUGAAAGUAUACAGAACAUUUAUAAAACAUUGUGCUAUUGUAAUUCUCAGGUGCACAGUCUCUUUGGUAUACUCACCUCAGCCUGUUUGCAUGUAUUUCUUCUCAUAUGCGGCUUAUAUUGCAUUAGUCUUGUGAUAAGUACAAAGCAGGAGGGACCCCAAGUGUCAACGUUACAAAACAUGAAGGGUAAACGUGUCAAAGGCAACCAUGCACGUUAAAUAGAAAGCCGAAGGACCAAAGCCGCCAGGAGGAGUAGAACAAUGUCGUGACUUUUCUUCUAAUUGUGUAGGCCACCUUAAUUUGUUGAAUGGUAUGUUCUAAAUUCAUUUUCUUUUGUUUGUAAGAAACUAUUUCUAUAAUUCCUUUUUGUACUAAAAUCGCAUAAUAUUCGUAAUGGUUGAACCGAUAUGUGCUUUACGCUU
rnacentral:lncRNA from 1 species